CGUUCCCGGGUCUUGUACACACCGCCCGUCACACCAUGGGAGCGGGUUUUACCAGAAGUAGGUAGCUUAACCGCAGGGAGGGCGAUUACCACGGCAGGGUUCGUGACUGGGGUG
rnacentral:rRNA from 1 species